GGUCCGGUAGCUCACUGGUAGAGCGUAUGGGCUAGUUACCUAAGGUCACAGGUUCAAUUCCUGUCCGGGUCA
rnacentral:tRNA from 1 species